UUGUGAAUUUCGUUAAACGGAAUCCAAAGUACUAUACUUUGUGAGUUCAUUAAAUGGAUACCAAAGUACUGUCUGAAUAAGACUAUACUUUGUGAAAUUCGUUAAGGUUCGAAUCUCGUGACUACCGUUAAGGUUUGAUUUGGGUUUUACACAAAUACGUAUUCCAUUCUGUUAAACUAUAUGUUUAACUACCAAAAAUACUCCCAACUACACACUCACAAUCAAACAAACUAUUAAAUCAUCAGAAGAUCCAGAAUAAUAAAGUGCAUGCUUAAUUAUCGGAAGAAGUAGAAUCAAGAAGCUUAUUAACUCAAUCUUGCAUGCUUAUAAAGUAAUUACAGUAGAUUGGAGUAAG
rnacentral:lncRNA from 1 species